rnacentral:rRNA from 1 species
GACGAACGCUGGCGGCGUGCUUAACACAUGCAAGUCGAACGGAAAGGCCCUGCUUUUGUGGGGUGCUCGAGUGGCGAACGGGUGAGUAACACGUGAGUAACCUGCCCUUGACUUUGGGAUAACUUCAGGAAACUGGGGCUAAUACCGGAUAGGAGCUCCUGCUGCAUGGUGGGGGUUGGAAAGUUUCGGCGGUUGGGGAUGGACUCGCGGCUUAUCAGCUUGUUGGUGGGGUAGUGGCUUACCAAGGCUUUGACGGGUAGCCGGCCUGAGAGGGUGACCGGCCGCAUUGGGACUGAGAUACGGCCCAGACUCCUACGGGAGGCAGCAGUGGGGAAUAUUGCACAAUGGGCGGAAGCCUGAUGCAGCAACGCCGCGUGCGGGAUGACGGCCUUCGGGUGGUAAACCGCUUUCGCCUGUGACGAAGCGUGAGUGACGGUAAUGGGUAAAGAAGCACCGGCUAACUACGUU